UGGUGGUUAUUUGUGGAUACUAUAUGUAUGACUUUACUAUUCCAUUGGCGAAGAUAAGAGGGACAUGUGAAGGUCCUUUUUGUACUACUACUAUGCCGAAGUCAACUAACAUUAGGUUAGAAAGGAGACUCAAGGACUAUGAUUAAUUAGUUUGGAUAACUAAACCAGUGAUCUGCAUUGAUGGUGUUCAUCCUCUUCUUUCCCCUAUUUGGA
rnacentral:lncRNA from 1 species